AUACUUACCUGGCAGGGGGAGACACUGCACUUGAUCAGAAAGCCCAGUUUCCCACUGGGCUGAGGCACCGUCCAUUACACUCGGCUUGAUGCUGACCUCGCAAUUCCCAAAUGCUUGGGAAUCGACUGCAGGCUAUAGUGAGGUAGGGGACUGCGAUUCGCGCUCUCCCUGA